GAGAAGGUCACACCCGUUCCCAUCCCGAACACGGUAGUUAAGCUUCUCUGCGCCAAUGGUAGUUGGGGGCUUCCCCCUGCGAGAGUAGGUCGCUGCCGGGC
rnacentral:rRNA from 4 species